GAUGAACGCUGGCGGCGUGCCUAAUACAUGCAAGUCGAGCGAACGGACGAGAAGCUUGCUUCUCUGAUGUUAGCGGCGGACAGGUGAGUAACACGUGGAUAACCUACCUAUAAGACUGGGAUAACUUAGGGAAACCGGACCUAAUACCGGAUAAUAUUUUGAACCGCAUGGUUCAAAAGUGAAAGACGGUCUUGCUGUCACUUCUAGAUGGAUCCGCGCUGCAUUAGCUAGUUGGUAAGGUAACGGCUUACCAAGGCAACGAUGCAUAGCCGACCUGAGAGGGUGAUCGGCCACACUGGGACUGAGACACGGUCCAGACUCCUACGGGAGGCAGCAGUAGGGAAUCUUCCGCAAUGGGCGAAAGCCUGACGGAGCAACGCCGCGUGAGUGAUGAAGGUCUUCGGAUCGUAAAACUCUGUUAUUAGGGAAGAACAUAUGUGUAAGUAACUGUGCACAUCUUGACGGUACCUAAUCAGAAAGCCACGGCUAACUACGUG
rnacentral:rRNA from 1 species